rnacentral:lncRNA from 10 species
AUCAUAAAAGCUCGAGAUCAAGCCAGGCCCCUGCAUAUAAUCUCAUGGCAACAAGGAGAAUGGCUGGGGACAGCUCUGCCAACAUCUUCUUGCUUUGGUGAUGACAGAACUAAAAAAUGGAGGUGAUGUCGUGCAUCAGGAUUAGCGCCUCAAUUUAUCGCCGGCUCAAGCUCCACACAUGCUCCAUGACAGGGUGUUGUCCGCAUCCCCGAAAGUUCCAGGAAGGAGACAGUGUUUGCUGAGUGGUGGGCUUUAGAUAUUCAGCAGUGUGGUUGGCUUUUAUGGGCUGAGAAUGUGUGUGAGUGUGAGCGCAUGCGUGCUCGUGCAUGCUGGUGUUGGGCCUGGGGCACUGUGUUGUUUGAAAGGCGCAGGGAACAGACACUUUGUACUCAGAUGCAUCAAUUUCCAACGGCAGCAGAAUGCUGUUUCUGGUUGAAAGAGAAAGAAGAAAGCGAAAUCUUCAUUUCAGCUUAGGAAUGGGGUCCACAUGUUUAGCUCAAAGUGAGUGGAAAUCUCUGAAAAGCAGGUUUGGGCUAAUGAAUGUCAGCAGGCCUUCAAUGUAAAUGGGAUUUGAUUAGCAGGAAGGAGUGUGGUUGGGAUGUUUCCAUUACCAAAGAAUGAUAUAGAGGGGCAAGGCUUGUCUUAAGGGGAUGAAGAAGGUCCCUCCAACUGCCCAAGUAGAUCCUUUUCCAGUAGGCUUUCAGACGCUCAGAAAACAUGGGGCUGACCUUGGCUUCUACCACAUGCCAUGGGGCACGAGACCAUUGUUCCAGACAAGUAAACCUGAGGUGGGGGGAGGUGGCAGAGCUGCGACUGGACACCACGAAUGAAAUAUUCUACAAUACAAAACAUGCCACAUCAGUCCUCAACAUUGCCUUGCCUCUAU